rnacentral:rRNA from 1 species
UACAGAGGGUGCGAGCGUUGUCCGGAAUCACUGGGCGUAAAGGGCGCGUAGGCGGCUUUCCGCGCGUGCGGUGAAAGCCCGGGGCUCAACUCCGGGUCGGCCGUGCGGACGGGGGAGCUAGAGUCUGGUAGAGGCUGAUGGAAUUCCGGGUGUAGCGGUGGAAUGCGCAGAUAUCAGGAGGAACACCGAUGGCGAAGGCAGGUCACUGGGCCACUGACUCUGAGAAGCGAAAGCAUGGGGAGCGAACAGG